GACGAACGCUGGCGGCGUGCCUAAUACAUGCAAGUAGAACGCUGAAGGAGGAGCUUGCUUCUCUGGAUGAGUUGCGAACGGGUGAGUAACGCGUAGGUAACCGGCCUGGUAGCGGGGGAUAACUAUUGGAAACGAUAGCUAAUACCGCAUAAUAGCAGUUAUUGCAUGAUAACUGUUUGAAAGGUGCAAUUGCACCACUACCAGAUGGGCCUGCGUUGUAUUAGCUAGUUGGUGGGGUAACGGCUCACCAAGGCGACGAUACAUAGCCGACCUGAGAGGGUGAUCGGCCACACUGGGACUGAGACACGGCCCAGACUCCUACAGGAGGCAGCAGUAGGGAAUCUUCGGCAAUGGACGGAAGUCUGACCGAGCAACGCCGCGUGAGUGAAGAAGGUUUUCGGAUCGUAAAGCUCUGUUGUAAGAGAAGAACGAGUGUGAGAGUGGAAAGUCACACUGUGACGGAU
rnacentral:rRNA from 1 species